CUCUGAAGCCUCUCAGCUUCCCAGGAGAAAAAUCUUGGGUGAAGGGAUUUUUCAAAGAAUGCCACAGGUGAUGAUCACUGUCCCCUGCAUGAUGUACUGCUGUACUGACCUCUCACUCCAGGAUGGUUGGCAGCUGUGCCGCCCUGUGUUUGUGGGUGUCUGGCACAAAGGAACUUGAAGACUUGCUCCAGAAUUCAUCAGCAAUCAGUUGCAUCUGAAUGCCUGUCAACCCAACCCAAAAUCUGAUCUGAAACUUCCCUCAGGUGUACACAU
rnacentral:lncRNA from 1 species